GGUUAGAGGAGCAGAAAGAAGAACGGGGUCAAGUAGUGAAGUUUCCAGAUCCUAAUCCUGAAGUGUUAUGCAUAGGUACAUUGUGGGCUGGUACAUGAAGAAGGCAAACAAUGAGGCUUUUAAACUUGCUUUAAAAAAUAAGAAAAAAAAGGAUUUCCUAUAAAUAAGUGAGAAUAGUUUUUUAUUAUUAGGUGUUUUUAAUGCCCAGUUUCAUUUUGCCUGAAUUGCCACCACUGUUAACUAUCUCAGGAAAGAAAGAGAAAUGCCUCUGAUAUUUUCAGAGCUGAAGCAGUGAGGAGGGUGUCAUAUGUCUGUCCUACAGGCUGUGAGUUACACUCCUUCAUCCUGAUCUGUUAGUCAUUUCUCCACUGUCACUGUCACUUCACCUUCACCUUCUAUGUAGAAGGAGAGGGACUGGGUGUCGGUGACUCUCCACCAUUUCAUCCUUUUCUAAUGGCCCCCUUUACAAGCGUUUCCACAGUCACUCAUCAGACUCAUAACCCAUGAUCUUGAUCUAAGAACGUCCAUGACAAUGCUGCUUCUUGUUGCAAAUUCCACCUAGGUGUGCACUGAAAACACGUUUAGUGUCCCUCAAAACAUGUUAUAAGUAGAAAGGAUACGGAGUAAAUGGUCAGAAGUAAAGGAGAUGGGGGAGAAGAAGCCUAUCACAAGACAUACUUGAAAGUGCAAUAGAGAUGUUAGCCUGGGCUCCAUUGCUGUUCCAGCUUCUUCCAUGGUCAGGGGACAAGGGACUGAGGAAAGCCCAUGUCAUGUGAGUGCCCCCAUUAAUCCUCCAUCUUGAUGCCACCCCAGGCUUGCUCGAUGUAGAUGCUUACAGUAACUUCGGAAGCUUGUGGGGACUUAUUCCCCAUGUGUUGAUGAUGUCCGGUCAUAUGAGACUGCCAUUGAAGCCACGGAGAGCACCGUGUCUCACCCCGUACCUGGUCACAGUCCUUAAUGAACUGGUCUGAAAGGUCAUCUGGUUUCAAAGAGGAAAUGGGUUCAAAGAGGAAAAGGAGUAACAGCUCUCGAGUCACAACUGAUCCUGAGCAGCCCAGAUUCUACAUUACAUCAUCAGAGGUUCUCCCCGGCGAUGACUCCAGACCAAUCACUUGGCUCCUGAAAGCCUUGUCUAGCAUCUAGCCUGCAUCUUAAAUCCAGGCAGAGGAACCCGCAGACCAUCCACAGAGAAAGUCUGGGAGCUCUGACUGAGCUAGCUCAUUCACUUUGAAGACUAAGUUGGUAUUCCCUGGGAAGACUGAGAGAUUCUCCCCCACAAGCUGAGGUCAUUGCAGAGCAGAUGGGCCAUUAGUGGAUCACUUGAGCCUGGCUUUUAGUGUCACUCUUAGCAAACUGAUUGUGUGAGUGACUUCAGCAGACAUUAAUGUAGACCAUUGUUCCUUGUGACUGGGUACAGUCUGCCAGCUCCCUGGAACCAUAAGGAAGUGUGUUGUAAUCAUCCAGAGGCUAUCACUUUGUGCCAGUAGUUUUGAAAAGGGGAAUGUCCCCCAGGAAGAAUGAGCUCUAUGCUAACAGCUGCAGGAAAUGUGAUAGACGCAACAUGGCCCUAUUUGAUGAAACUUCCUCCUGUCUGCAACGUGACAGGUGUGUUGAAAACCACCCACAGUGAUCUGCUAUAAGCAUCCAUCCUCAAAGCAAACUGAAGUUUAGGGAGUUCAAACUGGCCUACCAGUAGUCAUGCAUUCACAACUAGAAUCAUUGCACAGAUCUGGUCCCUUUAGUGUACACUUGACAGAUUGCUCUGUGGUGCUACCCUUCUCCCCUGCAACCUAAAGCAAAUUACUCUUUGGACUGGAGUGACAUCUCCUAUGAGCCCAGUCAUUGGUAUUUUUUACUUCGAACCUAUGCUUUUAAGCCAAGCAGACUUGAAGAAAUGACAACUUCCCCAUAGAGUUCCUGUGAAGAUGAAGUUGGAUCGCCUAAUGUUUAAUACAUUGAAGGUGCUUUCUAUUGGAUAGCUAUUAUUCUAUACCAUUGCGUAUGACAGCUGAGGAGGAGCGGCUGCAUAACUGAAGAACCCCAAGAAGCAGUAGAGACUUCUCUUCCAUGUAGAUGUUGAACUGUGGAGAACUUGCCCUCAUCUGAGAUAAGCAGUUUCAUCAGCCAUGGACCACAACAGGAAGGACCUGCUGGUGAAGCAUCAGCUGGAUCCUGUCAGGAUUCCCUGGACAGGUUGGGGCAGCCACUGCUUCAGCACGAGUCUGAUGAGGGCUCCUCUCAAAGAUAACUCAUAUAGUUUUUGUCAUAGAGGAAGCAAUUCUAUUUUAAGUCAGUAUGGCUAAAAUCCAGCUGUGGUGGAGCAGAAUACUGUCUGUAGGAGGGGUUGGGAGACUGUUUUCCGAUCUGGGAUUUUAUGUUACGACAAUAUCAAAGAUGUUUGACAGACAGAGGCAUGUUUUGGCCAGGGGACUACAAGAUACUUUAAUCCUGAGUGAUAUCUUUGUGACUGUCUUGUCAUUAAAUCUUCAAAGAAAACAACAAAAAGUAACGAUAAUGGGAGUGUCUGGAUUCAGAGUUGUCUUGUCGAUGGAGGUCAGUUAUCACUAAGACCACAUAGUCCUGCCCAGCUCUCCACUGCCAUCCUCAGAGGAAAGGAAGCUCGCUACAACGGGUCUCUGGAUUUUACUUUGACCCACUGAUGAGUAUCAGCAUUGGUCCACCCACCCUCACCUGAGGACAAAUGUGCUGUGGAAACCAGGACAUUUUCAUUAUAUAAGACGCCUAGAAGGGCCCCAGGGAGCCCGGGCCAUUUCAUGCAUUAUUUCUACAACCAAAUUCAAGCAUUCACCAUGAAGGCUGCAAGAGCAGACGCCAAGAAGAUUCAUAUCCUCUCAGGUCGGGUUCUGCUAUUAAAUGAGUUUAUGGUGAACCAUAUAACAGCCUUAUCAUCCUUCGUCCUUUCUGCCUUUCAGAUGUCUCAGAGAAUAAAGACUGAAUAGCUUUUCUUGGAAGUUACUUGAGAGAAUGUGGGUGACCCAAGGGAUGUGUGGAAUAGACCAACAGCCUUAGCUUUAGGGUCUUGGGGAAAUUUCCAAGACUCCACGUGUUACAGUCUUGGAACUUCCUUAGUAACUCUUUUCAUAAGGGACCCAGCCUUUCUCUCCCCUGGAAUUCAUACUACUGCAAAUGCCACUGGGAGUGGAGAGCCAUGAAUUAUUAUCCUACUGUGAAGCCAGUGCUCGUGAUAUCUGUCACCUAGUCAUUUGAGAGUAGAAACAGAGAACCAAGGAGCUGGCACCCGGGAAGGUAUCUCUUUAAGUUGAAAAAGAGCCAGAGGGCCAUUGAGUGCCAGCACAGCUAUGAAAACCUGAAUGCACAUUUUGCUGAGGCCACAGUCUCCACUCACCCAGGCUAGGGGACAGCUGUGCUGUUUCUGCAGCUCAGUUUGAGGUUACAAGCUGGCCCAGGCUCUGUGUUCUCUUAAGAGGGUAAGGCUAAACAUUUUUUUUUGAGUUUUUAAAAUUUUUUUCAUUUCUUUGAUCAUUUUAUUUCCCCUUUUUUAUUGGAUA
rnacentral:sRNA from 1 species